ACGCUCUUAGUUCAGUUGGUAGAACAUCGGUCUCCAAAACCGAGUGUCGUGGGUUCAAGUCCUACAGAGCGUG
rnacentral:tRNA from 1 species